rnacentral:rRNA from 1 species
UACGUAGGGGGCUAGCGUUGUUCGGAUUCAUUGGGCGUAAAGGGUGCGUAGGCGGCGCGGUAAGUCGGGUGUGAAAUCUCGGAGCUUAACUCCGAAACUGCAUUCGAUACUGCCGUGCUUGAGGACUGGAGAGGAGACUGGAAUUUACGGUGUGGCGGUGAAAUGCGUAGAUAUCGUAAGGAAGACCAGUGGCGAAGGCGGGUCUCUGGACAGUUCCUGACGCUGAGGCACGAAGGUCAGGGGAGCAAACGGG